rnacentral:misc_RNA from 1 species
GUCGUCGCCGGAGAAGCCUAUCCCGGCCGCUGUGAUCCCGCCAUGGCGGGACCAGAUCACAGUGCGGGGAAUUUUCGUUAGCGCCCUCCUCGGCACCCUCUUUUGCAUCAUCACCCACAAAUUGAACCUCACCGUCGGGGUAAUCCCUUCUCUCAACGUCGCCGCCGGGCUUUUAGGGUUUUUCCUCGUUCGUACCUGGACGGGGUUGUUGGAGAAGCU